rnacentral:rRNA from 1 species
UACGUAGGUGGCAAGCGUUGUCCGGAAUUAUUGGGCGUAAAGCGCGCGAAGGCGGUCCUUUAAGUCUGAUGUGAAAGCCCACGGCUCAACCGUGGAGGGUCAUUGGAAACUGGGGGACUUGAGUACAGAAGAGAAGAGUGGAAUUCCACGUGUAGCGGUGAAAUGCGUAGAGAUGUGGAGGAACACCAGUGGCGAAGGCGACUCUUUGGUCUGUAACUGACGCUGAGGCGCGAAAGCGUGGGGAGCAAACAGG